UACGGGGGGGGGCAAGCGUUGUUCGGAAUUACUGGGCGUAAAGGGCUCGUAGGCGGCCAACUAAGUCGGAUGUGAAAUCCCCAACGCUUAAACCCUGGGAACUGCAUCCGAUACUGGAUGGCUUGAAUCCGGGAGAGGGAUGCAGAAUUCCAGGUGUAGCGGUGAAAUGCGUAGAUAUCUGGAGGAAUACCGGUGGCGAAGGCGGCAUCCUGGACCGGCAUUGACGCUGAGUGAGCGAAAGCCAGGGGAGCAAACGGG
rnacentral:rRNA from 1 species